rfam:Triticum urartu cultivar G1812 contig1124596, whole genome shotgun sequence.
UAUCUACUUCCUCCGUUUCGCAAUACAUGACUUCCAUUUGUCAAAAUAUAGAUAUAUCUAGACAUGUUUUAGUAUAUAAGUAUAUUUAUUUUUAAACAAAUGAAAGUCAAGUAUUUUGGAACGGAGGGAGUAGUAG